AAUGAAAAGAAAAAGACAUCCAACUUGAUAAUGCACUUCGUGGUCCUUUUCGACUUUGUAUCCCCACAUUGCGUCAGAGCUUGACGAAGCUGUUUGCGUUGGUUCCGAGAAAGAACGAA
rnacentral:lncRNA from 1 species